rnacentral:rRNA from 1 species
AGCGAACGCUGGCGGCAGGCCUAACACAUGCAAGUCGAACGAACCUUUCGGGGUUAGUGGCGGACGGGUGAGUAACACGUGGGAACGUGCCUUUAGGUUCGGAAUAACUCAGGGAAACUUGUGCUAAUACCGAAUGUGCCCUUCGGGGGAAAGAUUUAUCGCCUUUAGAGCGGCCCGCGUCUGAUUAGCUAGUUGGUUGGGGUAAUGGCUCACCAAGGCGACGAUCAGUAGCUGGUCUGAGAGGAUGAUCAGCCACAUUGGGACUGAGACACGGCCCAAACUCCUACGGGAAGCAGCAGUGGGGAAUCUUGCGCAAUGGGCGAAAGCCUGACGCAGCCAUGCCGCGUGAAUGAUGAAGGUCUUAGGAUUGUAAAAUUCUUUCACCGGGGACGAUAAUGACGGUACCCGGAGAAGAAGCCCCGGCUAACUUCGUG